GCGGGCAUGGCGAAAUUGGUAGACGCAGCAGACUUAAAAUUUGCCGGUUUAUACCGUCCGGGUUCGACCCCCGGUGCCCGCA
rnacentral:tRNA from 2 species